UCUGGUGUCUCAUUUAGCCACA
rnacentral:miRNA from 1 species